rnacentral:miRNA from 14 species
UGUGUGUGUGUGUGUGUGUGUGUGUGUGCGUGUGAUGGAUUAGCUCUGUUAGGGGCUCAGCGGUACACUGAUAUCUUUGCUCAGUGCUCACAGCAUGAUACACCAGAUACUGGCACGUGCUCUCUCUCUCUCACACACACACACACACACACACACC